AUUGAACGCUGGCGGCAGGCUUAACACAUGCAAGUCGAGCGGAGAUGAGGUGCUUGCACCUUAUCUUAGCGGCGGACGGGUGAGUAAUGCUUAGGAAUCUGCCUAUUAGUGGGGGACAACAUUCCGAAAGGAAUGCUAAUACCACAUACGUCCUACGGGAGAAAGCAGGGGAUCUUCGGACCUUGCGCUAAUAGAUGAGCCUAAGUCGGAUUAGCUAGUGGGUGGGGUAAAGGCCUACCAAGGCGACGAUCUGUAGCGGGUCUGAGAGGAUGAUCCGCCACACUGGGACUGAGAAACGGCCCAGACUCCGAGGGGAUGCAGCAGUGGGGAAUAUUGGACAAUGGGGGAAACCCCGAUCCAGCCAUGCCGCGUGUGUGAAGAAGGCCUUAUGGUUGUAAAGCACUUUAAGCGAGGAGGAGGCUACUGAGACUAAUACUCUUGGAUAGUGGACGUUACUCGCAGAAUAAGCACCGGCUAACUCUGUGCCAGCAGCCGCCGUAA
rnacentral:rRNA from 1 species